CGGGUGAGUAAUGUAUGGGGAUCUGCCUGAUGGCGGGGGAUAACUACUGGAAACGGUAGCUAAUACCGCAUAAUGUCUGCGGACCAAAGCGGGGGACCUCCGGGCCUCUUGCCAUCGGAUGUGCCCAGAUGGGAUUAGCUAGUAGGUGGGGUAACGGCUCACCUAGGCGACGAUCCCUAGCUGGUCUGAGAGGAUGACCAGCCACACUGGAACUGAGACACGGUCCAG
rnacentral:rRNA from 1 species